rnacentral:lncRNA from 13 species
GGGGAAGGCAGCUGAGAAACACCAAGAUGCUAGAGGUAGUGGGGGGAGAGCAGCUGAGGAACACCAAGAUGCUAGAGGUAGUGGGGGGAAGGCAGCUGAGGAACACCAGGAUGCUAGAGGUAGUGAAGGAAAGGCAGCUGAGGAACACCAAGAUGCUAGAGGUAGUGGGGGGAAGGCAGCUGAGGAACACCAAGAUGCUAGAGGUAGUGGGGGGAAGGCAGCUGAGGACCACAAGGUUAUUCCCCCUGAUAUGAACCACAACUCACCCGCCAAGUUAGGCACAAAUGGGAUUCAAUCUGUUGAAACCAGAAGCUUGAAGAAGCUCGGCUCUUUUGAUAAAACUUCAAAGGAACAAGGCUCCUUCGGACAAAGCAUGAAGAAAACGACUUCAUUUGAACAAAGCAUAAAGAAAACAACCGUGUUUGAAAACACCACAAAGAAGUCGGCCUCAUUUGAUAGAAGUUUGAAGAAAGAACCUUUCUUAGAUAGAACGUUGAUGAAAGAGGCAUCCUUCGACAGAACGUUGAGGAAGCAGGGCUCGUUUGAACGCAGCUCCAGUCCUUCUAGCCUGGAUGGGAGGAAGCCUUGGGGUAGCCCAAGCAGGAGCCCCAGCCGCCCCGCCACCCCUCCCUGGUCCCCCAGGAGACCAGCCCCCUCCUCCCCCGCCAAGACCAGCUCCAGACCUCCCUCCUCCACCUCUCCAGCCAAGACCAGCAACCAAGCCUCCAGCCAGGACCGCAGCGACUCCCCACAGAGGGGUACCACCAGUGGCCUCAAAGCACCUAGUAAGCCACCUGCGGACCCUAGGAGGGCCUCUCCUCACAAACCCAAACCCGCCCGUCCAAAGAUCAUCACGUACGUCCGUAAGAACCCCCAGGGGAAGUCCCAGGGGACGGAGGUUGACCCAAAUGAAGCCUUGACAAUCCCUCUCCGCCUGUCCUCUUCCCACCCCAGCCCUCCUACAGCCCACAGGAAGCCCCACAAGACAGGGCCCCAUUCUAAGGCCUCACAGGUGCUCUGCUCCUCUAAUAUACUAUUUGAUAAGUACCGGCAGGAGAUGCAGAAGGCAGGAUACUUUCCCCCGGGUACCGGCAUGACGUCGCUGGGCAUCAAACCUCCCAGCCACCCUCCUCC